rnacentral:rRNA from 1 species
UACGUAGGAUGCAAGCGUUGUUCGGAAUUACUGGGCGUAAAGAGUACGUAGGCGGUGACAUAAGUCUGAAAUUAAAGACAGAAGCUCAACUUCUGGAAUGUAUCGGAAACUGUGUUACUAGAGGAUAGUAGAGGAAGUCGGAAUUCUCAGUGUAGCGGUGAAAUGCGUAGAUAUUGGGAAGAACACCAGUGGCGAAAGCGGACUUCUGGGCUAUUACUGACGCUGAGGUACGAAAGUGUGGGGAGCAAACGGGG